rnacentral:rRNA from 1 species
AUUGAACGCUGGCGGCAGGCCUAACACAUGCAAGUCGAACGAGUGGCGGACGGGUGAGUAAUGUCUGGGAAACUGCCUGAUGGAUGGGGAUAACUACUGGACACGGUAGCUAAUACCGCAUACCAUCGGAUGUGCCCAGAUGGGAUUAGGUGGUAGGGGGGGUAAAGGCUCACCUAGGCGACGAUCCCUAGCUGGUCGGAGAGGAUGACCAGCCACACUGGAACUAGGACAAGGUCCAGACGUCUACGGGAGGCAGCGGUGGGGAAUAUUGCACAAUGGGCGCAAGCCUGAUGCAGCCAUGCCGCGUGUAGGAAGAAGGCCUUCGGGUUGUAAAGUACUUUCAGCGGGGAGGCGUUACCCGCAGAAGAAGCACCGGCUAACUCCGUGCCAGCAGCCGCGGUAAUUC